CAAAUAAACACUUUCUCAAAAGAAUAACAGAAGAGAAAGACUAAAAAAACGUCAGUUUCACCCUGUGAGCCUGAAUGUAUUGGCAGCGAUCUGUUUGUGAUACCGAGCUGUGCCGUCAUGCCAAUGCAAACACAAGGAUCCUGUUUAUCGUAAACAAAAUAAGUCUGUCCUUGUAUAAAAGGGAAGGCUAAACACCCUCAUCUCCUCGGACUCAUCGAAAAAAGGGACAAGAAAGUAAAGAGAAAUGACAUCUGCGAGUAUUUGCCUUCAGAAGAGGGGAGAAAGGGCUGCCACUUCCCACAUUUCUUACACAAAGAGGAAACCACAUCAGAGUGGCAGAAAGGCAGCAAAAAGAGAAGUUUUGACACAGUAUGAAAUCCUCACCCUUUACACCAUAGCACCCAGAAAGCAAGCCAGGCAACAAAGCUGAAAUAUUUCCAGAUCCCCUAUAAUAAGCCAGCAUGAAAAUUCAACUUUAAAGCUUUUAUUAAAACUUCAGGGAUUUUUUCUAGAUUCACUGUUCCGUUUUAAUUUAUAAUAUAUGAAAACUGACACAAAAACAAAUAUGUUUUAUAGCUGCUCCAUUUUUUUAACUACUUGAGCCCCCAUUUCCAUUGUACAUAUCGGUUAUGAGUAAGGUAAACAUUAAAUGAAAUAUAAAUGAGUAUGCUUUAGUUAGAUCCAAUAUAUGCAAACAGAUGCAUCUAAUUUUAUGGAGCAAAAAAACUAGUAAGAAUGUUGACCCUUUCUAGUCUGUAAUAAUUAGAUUUUUUUUUAUUGAUUCAAAUAUAAUUAUUAGUUGGCUACUUAAAUUUUACUUUUAGAGCAGAAACAUAUUAGCAAUGUUUUUAUUAGUAAGACAAUUUAUGUUCUGUCUCUUUUAUUUACUUGGCUUUUGUUUUUCAUUUAGAGUUGAUGCACAUCAUACGUGUUUUUAUUUAUAUUUUAUAUACAAUUGAAUGUUAUUUAUUUUGUUUAUAUUCCAUCAAGAUGGAUGUCACUUCAUGUUUUUACUUCACUGUUACAAAUGUGGGCACAGAAACACAGAGAUUAGCACAAACAUUUUAUCAAAAAGGGUUGUGUGGUUUACUUUGUUUAUUUGUUUUGUUUUACUCUGUAGUUUCUCACAACAAAAAUAAAAAAUGCAUUUUUUUGCAUUUA